AUUGAACGCUGGUGGCAUGCCUUACACAUGCAAGUCGAACGGCAGCACGGGAGCAAUCCUGGUGGCGAGCGGCGGACGGGUGAGGAACACGUAGGAAUCUACCCAGAAGAGGGGGAUAACCAAGGGAAACUUUGGCUAAUACCGCAUAAUCUCGAGAGAGAAAAGCUGCCCGCAAGGGUGGCGCUUUUGGAGGAGCCUGCGUCCGAUUAGCUAGUUGGUAGGGUAAAGGCCUACCAAGGCGAUGAUCGGUAACUGGUCUGAGAGGACGACCAGUCACACUGGGACUGAGACACGGCCCAGAUUCCUACGGGAGGCAGCAGUGGGGAAUAUUGGACAAUGGGGGCAACCCUGAUCCAGCGAUGCCGCGUGAGUGAAGAAGGCCUUCGGGUCGUAAAGCUCUUUAGGUUGGGAAGAAGGGUGCGAGGGUAAUAUCCUUGUACUUUGACGGUACCGACAGAAUAAGCACCGGCAAACUCUGUGCCAGCAGCCGCCGUAA
rnacentral:rRNA from 1 species